GAUGAACGCUGGCGGCGUGCCUAAUACAUGCAAGUAGAACGCUGAAGCUUGGUGCUUGCACCGAGCGGAUGAGUUGCGAACGGGUGAGUAACGCGUAGGUAACCUGCCUCUUAGCGGGGGAUAACUAUUGGAAACGAUAGCUAAUACCGCAUAAAAGUCGACAUUGCAUGAUGUUGAUUUGAAAGGUGCAAAUGCAUCACUAAGAGAUGGACCUGCGUUGUAUUAGCUAGUUGGUGAGGUAACGGCUCACCAAGGCGACGAUACAUAGCCGACCUGAGAGGGUGAUCGGCCACACUGGGACUGAGACACGGCCCAGACUCCUACGGGAGGCAGCAGUAGGGAAUCUUCGGCAAUGGGGGCAACCCUGACCGAGCAACGCCGCGUGAGUGAAGAAGGUUUUCGGAUCGUAAAGCUCUGUUGUAAGAGAAGAACGAGUGUGAGAGUGGAAAGUUCACACUGUGACGGUAACUUACCAGAAAGGGACGGCUAACUACGUGCCAGCAGCCGCGGUAGUACGUAGGUCCCGAGCGUUAUCCGGAUUUAUUGGGCGUAAAGCGAGCGCAGGCGGUUAGAUAAGUCUGAAGUUAAAGGCUGUGGCUUAACCAUAGUACGCUUUGGAAACUGUUUAACUUGAGUGCAGAAGGGGAGAGUGGAAUUCCAUGUGUAGCGGUGAAAUGCGUAGAUAUAUGGAGGAACACCGGUGGCGAAAGCGGCUCUCUGGUCUGUAACUGACGCUGAGGCUCGAAAGCGUGGGGAGCAAACAGG
rnacentral:rRNA from 1 species